CUUUCUGUGGUUCAGUCAGUACAGCAUUGGGCUAGCAACGCAAAGGUCAAGGGUUCUAACCCCAGGAAAA